rnacentral:rRNA from 1 species
UUAGGCAACUAUACCAUGUUAAAAGCAUAGAUUCUCAUUCUAUCAUCAGAGUUAAGCGACACUGGACCCAAUUGGUGCUUAAAUGACUGACCGAUUAGGAAUAUCAGACGUUGCAGAUA